rnacentral:rRNA from 1 species
AGCAGUAGCCGCGGUAAUACAGAGGGUGCAAGCGUUAAUCGGAAUUACUGGGCGUAAAGCGCGCGUAGGUGGUUUGUUAAGUUGGAUGUGAAAGCCCCGGGCUCAACCUGGGAACUGCAUCCAAAACUGGCAAGCUAGAGUACGGUAGAGGGUGGUGGAAUUUCCUGUGUAGCGGUGAAAUGCGUAGAUAUAGGAAGGAACACCAGUGGCGAAGGCGACCACCUGGACUGAUACUGACACUGAGGUGCGAAAGCGUGGGGAGCAAACAGGAUUAGAUACCCGUGUAGUCCCUGUCUCUUAUAC